CGCCGCCUCGCGAAUCUCGAAGAACCUCUCCACUGGUGGAAAAACGACGUUUUAUAUUAAUACUUUUUUUUCACUAUUAUAAAAAAUUCGAAGUCCGUAUUGUUUGUCGAGACGUACUGAAGUACGCCGGGUAUAAGAACCAAUAUAAAAACAACCGCUAUAACAUUAUUAUCCCAACGCAAUACAAAGAAAUAUCGGUUUUUUUUAUUUAUUU